GUUAACACAGGGUGCUUGAAGUUAAUCCCAGCUGCUUCCAGAGAGUGAGGUGGUGUAGCUACACAUCUCCUCUGGAGUUCAUCACUCCUUAAGUAUAUGAAGCAGCUCUGUAAUGUACGUCAGCUGUUCAUGGUUAGUGGAGGACUGCCCAGCAAGGACUGCAGAAUGUGUUGUGUUCCAGGAGUGGCUGGAGCCCUGAUACCUUUCCUAGCUCCUGUCUUACCUGUCCAGGCUUUUUGCAGUGUAACUGCUGCCAGUGCACAUAGACCAGCCAUGCAUGUGUGGGUGAAGCACCCUUCUUCAGUUUAUCAAAGACAAAAUACUGGAAACAUCUAGUCAUCUUAAAGAAGUAUUUCCUUGGGAAUUAUUAAAAAGAAGAGGAAAAAUAGAAGGAAAAGACAAUUCCACUGCAAAUUUUCCCCUACAUUAAAUGAAACACUUUCAGGAUGUUGCUCAUUGCCUGUGACUACUCCAAGAUCACCCCAUUCAGCUGAAGAAUUGACCUGGCUCAGAAUAUGAGAUUAGAAAGCUCAGUUUUGUUUUUCCAUGCAGUACAUAACAUGAUUUUCUUCCUGGACUGCAGGAAGUUUCUAGCCAAGACAUUUUUCUCUUCUGGGUAAGAAGCAAGAAUGUGUGGGGGAUACAACCAGGUGAUUACAUCCUCAUGUGAAAGGUGAAUUUGCUUUCAUAAAGGGAUAUCAUGGGCAAGAGCCCUCUUUGAAGGAAUAAUGAACAGAAUUAAGGAGGAGGCACUGUCAGGUGAUAAGGGCAGAGAGAUAAAACAACUCCCAAAACCUAGUUUCAAGAAUACAUAGAAAGUCUGUUUUGACUUUUCUUUUUAAGUACACCUGCUAACUUACAAAUCUGAAUACAUGCAGUUAUAGGGAACAGAAGGCAGUUAGAGAGUUUGGGAUUUAGAAAGGUUUUCAACACAACAUCUCAUCUGGGAUAGAUAGAAAUCUGGUGUGAUGGGCUCAUGUGAUCUCCAGCACUCAGAGUGACCUAACCCUCUGGAGUGUUUCAGCUGUUGGAAGAGCCCUGCAGAAGACCAGCAUGCAGAUGAAUGAACUACCAGUGCAAAAGAUUUUAAAUGAUAAAUGAUAAUAAAAUACAUCAAGCUGACUACAUUUAACUGCAAAAGUGACGUUCUGUGUGGACAGAUGAUGGCAGAUUCCUCACUGACUUCUAACGACCAGGAUUUCUUCACUGGAAUUUGUUUUAACUCCAGCUUGUGGUGCAAAAAUUGCAAAAAUAUUGUCUUUUCAGGAUGGGCCCUGUGUCUUCCCUAUUUUGGAAGUUGAAUUGGAAAAUGAAAGGUGGUUGAAAAGUCAAGAAACAAAGGGAAAUUUUCCCCUGCUGGAAUCUGGGCUGUGACCUCAGAUCUGGUGUAUGAGAUGAGCAAGUCACUUGGCCUGUGCCUCAGCUUCCCAGUCUGUAAAGAAGGACUAUAACUGUUUUUCACUGAGAUGCUUCACAAUUCACAUCUGAAAAGCACUAGGCGUGAUUAAUAUCCAAGCAUGUGAUGUCUGACAUGCAAAAAUACCAUGCUGUUUAAUCACUGGUGCCUUAUGGAUGUUCUUUGACAUAAAGACAGCAGCUGGGUCUCUUCAAAACAAUCCAAAAAAUCUAAUCACUAAUGAUUUACUUGCUAUUCACAAGAGGUGUUUUACGCAAGUAAUUACACAGGGACUAGGAAUUGAACAGUGAUUUGAUCAAGAUUCAUCUGCAUGAUUGCAAACAUUUUUGAAUUAUUUUUCAAAUAUUUAUUUUUAAAGGAAAUUAAAUUAAAAUUUCUUAAAGCCUGGUGUUUAGGAUUGUGAUUUUUUCAAGUGUCUAGUGGGAGUUAAAGGAAGCUAGAAAUGUGGAAUGCAUAAUACUGAAAAAGAGAAAAAAUGGCUUGUGCUUUUAUUGCUUGCUUUCACCCUCCCACUUAAGAGGGACAGAGGAGGUCAUGGAGGAUCCUGAAAUGAUCAGUCACUUGCUGCAUUACAGGCACUCCUGUGUCUUCCUGCCCACCACCCACUUCUGGCUCCCACAAGUGCUAAUCAUAAUUAAAUGGAACAGCCAGUGCGAGUAAUAGCAUUGAGGAACAAAGACAAAUCACUUCAGUGCGGGUAGUCUGCUUAGUUCUUUUUUGAUUAAGAACUUCUCCUUGACUGUGUAUUCCUCUUUCUAUUUAAAGGAUUCACUCUCUCUGCUAACCCAGUGACAUUUUCAGUCCUACCUUUCUUGCUCACCUAUUUUAUGGUUUUAGUAUCCACACCUAUUUUUGUGUGUCAGGGAGGAAGGAAGACACUACAGCAAGCUGGGUAAAAUUCUAGAUUUAUCAAUACCUUUGUAAUAUUAUAUAACUCAUGCAAAAGCUGCUGUACCUUGUAAUCAGACUAUGUGUUUGUUGUAGGUCCCUUCCAACUGAAUUAUUGUGUGUGUUUUGUUCUGUUCUGUUCUACAGAUGACAGGAAAGUUGAGCUUGGUAAUGCAAUAGCUUUGUUCAGGGAGGGGUUCAAGCAUAGGUAUAUAUACAUAGAUAUAUAUAUUUUAAACCAUGUGUACAGCCUUGUCGCUGGCAGUGUGUAUCUGAAAUUCCUCUUUGGCCUUCAGUGGAGCUUGCUACUUCCACACAUCCUGAAGUGAUACUGAUACCCCUAGUGAUAAGAUU